GUCGGAUACAAAAAAGGCAAAUCGUAUUCAAUAAAGCCAGUUUUUUAGUUUCGGAUUGUUACGAGGGAUCUUUUGGUUUUAAUGUGUAUUUUUUCCUGCGAACAGUUUUCUUACCAAAAUUCAUGCUCUGAAAAAUCAAGUGUAGUCAUUUUUCUCUAUUUGGUGCAUUAAGAAAGUCAUUUUUUAAUUGUCUAAGGUGAAAACCCUCAGCAAAUUAUAGGUGAAACGGUAAAUAUUCACGGAACUUCAAGGCGCGACGUUACCGUU